AGGGUCUUCUGGGUGGACAGGAGUCCUGCUCCUUUCAGGUAUUGCUGUCCAGGAAGCGGCGGGGCGCGCCUUGGCUUACUUCUCAGCCCUCUAGGGCCGGCCGGGGAGGGCCCCGCUUCCUGGCGAGGUCCAGGCCGGCCGACCGUGUCGAGGCUCGUGGGGGGGCAUCCUCUCUCCCCGCGGCAUUGCGGCGACGCCGGGCCUCCGUCCAGUGACCUCGGGGCGGUGCCCACCUCGCAGGCCCGGGCGGAGCUCCGGGCCUCUCCGUCCGGGUUUCCCGGGGGCCUGCAGCUGCAGCGCGGGAGCCGCCGCCAGUGCCUCCUGCCGGGCGUCCCGCCCCCCUCCUGCGCCCGCCCCGCGCCCGCGAGGCCCCGACAGCCGGCGCGAGCGGUUCACUCGGCUCGGACGCAGGACGCAGGACGCAGGGAGACGCUUCUCUCCGCCCCGCGGGGGAUCCUGCAUGGGGCCGCGGCCGAAGCGGCCGCGCCUCUGGGGAUCCCGGCGGCCGGGGUGGGGGGUGGGGGGCUCCGGCCAGGUGAGCGGCCCAGCGGCCCCGAGGUCGCCGCCGGCUGCUCGAAUGAGGCCCCGAGGUGCCCUUUCCCGGCGGGGCCCUGCUACACCCUCCGGCUUCCCGCCCUGCGCGAGCGCAGAGGGACCGAGCCCGCGGCAGCCCUCUCCCUGGGGUGCGCAGCCCUCUCCCUGGGGUGCGCAGCCCUCUCCCUGGGGUGCGGCCUCUGCGGCGCGGCGGGAAAGGCGAAGCCCGGCUGCGUGCGCUGGCACAUCCCUGCAGCUGCACACCUCAGCUGUCAGCGCUACUCCAGGCUCCUCCUACGCCCCCUGGACUCCAGGUCUCUGCACCCCCGUCACAUCCCUCCAUCCACUGCUCCCCAGGCCACCCCGUAUCUCCUCCAGUUCUCCUUUUCUCUGCUACCCUUACACACUCACCUGUUACACAGACUAGUUCAGAUCCAGCACAGUUUGGUAGAAAACCUGUCACUCUGA
rnacentral:lncRNA from 1 species